UGCCAGCAGCCUCGGUAAUACGAAGGGUGCUAGCGUUGUUCGGAAUUACUGGGCGUAAAGCGCGCGUAGGCGGGCUAUUAAGUCAGGGGUGAAAUCCCGGGGCUCAACCUCGGAAUUGCCUCUGAUACUGGUAGUCUAGAGUCCGUGAGAGGUGAGUGGAACUCCGAGUGUAGAGGUGAAAUUCGUAGAUAUUCGGAAGAACACCAGUGGCGAAGGCGGCUCACUGGCACGGUACUGACGCUGAGGUGCGAAAGCGUGGGGAGCAAACAGGAUUAGAUA
rnacentral:rRNA from 1 species